rnacentral:lncRNA from 1 species
CUCGUCCGCCUGCUGACGGGAGCCCGCCUGCGCUGGGGAGGCUCGGGGAGGCCGCGGGGCCGCGUCCACGCUGACAGGGCCCGGCUCCUCAGGACCCGCGGGGAGGCUUCAGGAAGAUAUGGGGCCGCGUUUUAGGAUUAAGGGUAGAGAAUAUUUUCUAUGCAUGUGACAGGAAUGCCUUGGUGUGAUCCUUGGUUCCUCUCUUCUCUAUAUUUUAUUCAGUUGGAUCCAGUUUGUUAUGAAACCCAUCCAAGGAAUCUGGGACGAUGAACUGAGCCACCGUUGGGCACUUAACCAACCAAACUACCCAGGACAAUUUCCUCAUGGGUAGUAAACCCAAAAGAGACAAAACACAAGCUACCAACUGGUGGUGAUUCUGUACGUAGGAUAAGCACCAUUGCUUCAGCCAUUGUAGAUGCAUCAGUGAGUACUG